UACGUAGGGUGCAAGCGUUAAUCGGAAUUACUGGGCGUAAAGCGUGCGCAGGCGGUUUUGUAAGUCAGAUGUGAAAUCCCCGGGCUUAACCUGGGAACUGCGUUUGAAACUACAAGGCUAGAGUGUGACAGAGGGGGGUGGAAUUCCACGUGUAGCAGUGAAAUGCGUAGAGAUGUGGAGGAACACCGAUGGCGAAGGCAGCCCCCUGGGUUAACACUGACGCUCAGGCACGAAAGCGUGGGGAGCAACAGG
rnacentral:rRNA from 1 species